rnacentral:rRNA from 1 species
UACAGAGGUCUCAAGCGUUGUUCGGAUUCAUUGGGCGUAAAGGGUGUGUAGGUGGCGCCGUAAGUGGGGUGUGAAAUUUCGGAGCUUAACUCCGAAACUGCAUUCCAUACUGCGGUGCUUGAGGACUGGAGAGGAGACUGGAAUUCAUGGUGUAGCAGUGAAAUGCGUAGAGAUCAUGAGGAAGACCAGUGGCGAAGGCGGGUCUCUGGACAGUUCCUGACACUGAGGCACGAAGGCCAGGGGAGCAAACGGG